rnacentral:misc_RNA from 1 species
CAGCACAAAGGGGAGCCGAAGCUCCCCUUUAAUUUGUCGUUGCGCGUGCUCUUUUUUUAUUAUUGAGGGUCGGUCUGUUGUUGUUUUUGGCAACCGUUGCCCUUUACCGCUGUUUUUUGGCGAUCCCCAUCCGGGAUCAAGAGCAAACGUAUUUUUUUGAGCGCUGAUCUACUUUCUCGCCAAGCGAUCCAACCAGUUCGGGAGCUACCUCAGGGUAGUU